rnacentral:rRNA from 1 species
GAUGAACGCUGACAGAAUGCUUAACACAUGCAAGUCUACUUGAUCCUUCGGGUGGAGGUGGCGGACGGGUGAGUAACGCGUAAAGAACUUGCCUUACAGACUGGGACAACAUUUGGAAACGAAUGCUAAUACCGGAUAUUAUGAUUGGGUCGCAUGAUCUGAUUAUGAAAGCUAUAUGCGCUGUGAGAGAGCUUUGCGUCCCAUUAGUUAGUUGGUGAGGUAACGGCUCACCAAGACGAUGAUGGGUAGCCGGCCUGAGAGGGUGAACGGCCACAAGGGGACUGAGACACGGCCCUUACUCCUACGGGAGGCAGCAGUGGGGAAUAUUGGACAAUGGACCAAAAGUCUGAUCCAGCAAUUCUGUGUGCACGAAGAAGUUUUUCGGAAUGUAAAGUGCUUUCAGUUGGGAAGAAGUCAGUGACGGUACCAACAGAAGAAGCGACGGCUAAAUACGUGCCAGCAGCCGCGGUAAUACGUAUGUCGCAAGCGUUAUCCGGAUUUAUUGGGCGUAAAGCGCGUCUAGGCGGCUUAGUAAGUCUGAUGUGAAAAUGCGGGGCUCAACCCCGUAUUGCGUUGGAAACUGCUAAACUAGAGUAC